rnacentral:rRNA from 1 species
UACGUAGGGUGCAAGCGUUAAUCGGAAUUACUGGGCGUAAAGCGUGCGCAGGCGGUUUUGUAAGUCUGUCGUGAAAUCCCCGGGCUCAACCUGGGAAUUGCGAUGGAGACUGCAAGGCUAGAAUCUGGCAGAGGGGGGUAGAAUUCCACGUGUAGCAGUGAAAUGCGUAGAGAUGUGGAGGAACACCGAUGGCGAAGGCAGCCCCCUGGGUCAAGAUUGACGCUCAUGCACGAAAGGCGUGGGGAGCAAACAGGAUUAG